GGGCAUGUAGCUCAGAGGAUUAGAGCAUGUUGCUAUGAAACACUGUCGGGGAUUGGAACCCCUCCUCACUCA